CGGGGGAGGCCGGAUCCUGGGCUGUGUCCCGGCGCCCUGUGCUCCAGGGCCUGCGCUGUUGGAUUUCCGCUCCCCGGCCGCAGCCCCCU
rnacentral:pre_miRNA from 1 species